CCAGGUUGUUCUUCUUUGGAUACCUUCCAGUUUAUCAACAUCCUUCCUAAAAUUUGGUGCACAGAAGUGGACACAAUAUUAUAGGAAUUUUGGAGGACAGCAAAUCAACCCAGACCUGCAUGGCAAAAUCUUCAAUUUCAGGUGCCAUGGCUAUUCCUGAAAAAAGAGCUCAUUGUGCUACACAGUGUACAAAACUGUCAACUCACACCACUGGAAAUGGAGCCCAGAAGCCACAAAAUAGCUUUAAAACCUCAGAGGCUAAAUGGGACAAGAAAAGAGCCACAAAAGAAGUUAGUAGUAACACUGCCAAAACAGACAAAUACAAACAAAUAAAUAGCAACAGAAGAGUCGCAAAGAAUGGUAUCAAUUAAAGAAGCACUGAAAAUCGGUGAAUGAAUUCUGUAAUAUCUUGCUGCACUUUACCUGACUGCAUAAUGCAGGGAUCUGGAAUUUCAACGUUGACAUUAUGCUGAAUGUGGCAGACAAUUCAUGCUGAGUGCCUUUGGAAAAAUGGUCGACUUCAUUAGCUCUGCAGUUCUGUCAGCACUGGAAGCUUGAAUACUUUUUCUUUCCUGUACUUGAUGAGCUUGGCCAUCAAUUAGGAAGUAACUGGUCUGAUUUUUACUUUGCCACUAGCUAAGUAACUAACUCAUGGUAACUUAAGUUAAUUUCCUAGGAAGAAAAAUGUAAAUCAAAUGAUCCAGGGGCGCUAGAAAAACUUCUCAGAAAUUAGGGCUACGUGCAACAUAAUUUUUUAGGGGCAUGAAAGCUGUUCAUUCAUACAAUCAGGUAUUGAUUGAUUGAUUCAUUCAUUGUGUGCCAUCAAGGUAGUGUAGACUCUUUUCCCAGGAUGAUCCUGGCCUGGCUCUUCAGCACUUCUGAUGGUGCACAGUUAUCAUCUAGAUUAAUUCCAGUUUAAUAUUAAAUGUAUAUCAUCUGAAACCAAAAGGUGAUCACAGCAAUCGCUGUGUGCAAAAUAGCACCCUGAGUGAUCCUGUCAUUAAUGUGCUGAGGUACCACAAGAGAGUGCUACAGUACUAUUACAGAUAACUUGCUGCUACCUAAAACAGAUGGCUCAAACUUGUGUCACUGUAAAUAACUGUGUGACAGGUGUAAAACAAUGCAGUAACCUGUUUGGCCAUAUAGGAAGUUUGCACUGGGUUGUUGUGCUAUAAUAGUUAAUGGUACUUGCUCAUUUUGGGGGAAGGUCAAUUCCCUCUGCCAAUGUGCCACAAUGUGGUGUGUGGGCCACACAAUGUGCCACACAGGACAGGCCUAAUUCAACUGUCAGUCUCAUAGGCAGCUGUCUAAAACCAAAAGUGAUUCUUUCUCAAGAAUAAUUCUCACAAAGUUCCCUAGUAUGAAAAAGAAGAAUUGCAACAAACUAUAAAUUAUAUUCAAAGUUGAAAUAACCUGUGUCCCCCAACAUUUUCUGAUUUUCUAACCAUUUUUCUAUGGUUCCGAAAGGAGGUGGUCUCUGCAUUGAUAAUGUGGAAAAUUUCAUCAAAGGGGUGAAAUCAACUUAUCUUUGCUACUAGUUGGUAGCAAUGUGAGCGUGCAUGCGCAUGGGUGGGCGGAGCUUAUCACCGAGCGCACCUGCAAAAGUAAGUGAACAGUGAGGGGGGGAAUGCGCUGUGCCACAUGAUUUAGAUUAGCUAGAAAGUAGGAAAUCCUGCUUUC